UACGAAGGGAGCUAGCGUUGUUCGGAAUCACUGGGCGUAAAGCGCACGUAGGCGGAUGUGUCAGUCAGGGGUGAAAUCCCGGAGCUCAACUUCGGAACUGCCUUUGAUACAGCACGUCUUGAGUCCGAUAGAGGUGGGUGGAAUUCCUAGUGUAGAGGUGAAAUUCGUAGAUAUUAGGAAGAACACCGGUGGCGAAGGCGGCCCACUGGGCUAACACUGACGCUCAUGCACGAAAGCGUGGGGAGCAAACAGG
rnacentral:rRNA from 1 species